CCUACGGGAGGCAGCAGUAGGGAAUUUUCGUCAAUGGGCGCAAGCCUGAACGAGCAAUGCCGCGUGAACGAGGAAGGUCUUCGGAUCGUAAAGUUCUGUUGAAGGGGAAAAAGAGCGGAGAGAGGAAAUGGUCUCCGAUUGAUAUUACCCUUCGAGGAAGUCACGGCUAACUACGUGCCAGCAGCCGCGGUAAUCCGUAGGUGGCGAGCGUUAUCCGGAAUGAUUGGGCGUAAAGGGUGCGUAGGCGGCCUGCUAAGUCUGGAGUGAAAGGUACCGGCUCAACCGGUACAGGCUCUGGAAACUGGCGGGCUAGAGAGCAGGAGAGGGCGGUGGAACUCCAUGUGUAGCGGUAAAAUGCGUAGAUAUAUGGAAGAACACCAGUGGCGGAGGCGGCCGCCUGGCCUGUUACUGACGCUGAGGCACGAAAGCGUGGGGAGCAAAUAGGAUUAGAUACCCGAGUAGUC
rnacentral:rRNA from 1 species